ACGAACGCUGGCGGCGUGCUUAACACAUGCAAGUCGAACGGGUCUGCCCUGUUUUUUGCGGGGUGGGUCAGUGGCGAACGGGUGAGUAACACGUGAGUAACCUGCCCCUCACUUCUGGAUAACCGCUUGAAAGGGUGGCUAAUACGGGGUGUUCUGGCUGUGCCGCAUGGUGUGGCUGGGAAAGAUUCACUUUUGUGGUGUUUUGGUGGGGGAUGGGCUCGCGGCCUAUCAGCUUGUUGGUGGGGUGAUGGCCUGCCAAGGCUUUGACGGGUAGCCGGCCUGAGAGGGUGGGCGGUCACACUGGGACUGAGAUACGGCCCAGACUCCUGCGGGAGGCAGCAGUGGGGGGUAUUGCACAAUGGGCGGAAGCCUGAUGCAGCGACGUCGCGUGAGGGAUGGAGGCCUUCGGGUUGUGAACCUCUUUCGCCGGUGAAUAAGGUCCUGCUCUUUGUGGUGGGGUUGACGGUAGCCGGGUUAUGAAGCGCCGGCUAACUACGUG
rnacentral:rRNA from 1 species